CCUGCCCAUGAUCGCGCCGGUUCCCCGAGAGGGGAUUAAAAUGGGAAGGCGGUGCGGAUGGUUGCUUCCAUCCAAAUCCGCAGCUGUCCCUGCAACUGUAAGCGGCGAGCGCGAUGCACAUCGCUUCCUCUUCGGAGGAAGCAGCCACUGGGCCGCACGCUAAGUCAUGCGGGGCCUGGGAAGGCGUGCAUCAAGCCCUGACCCGCAAGCCAGGAGACCUGCCGGCGUUCUGGUCGCUCU
rnacentral:ncRNA from 2 species